AGCGAUGCUUCGUCGUGCGUACACCACUUCGGUGUGCACAGCCGGCGUGCUCGGCUCCGUCGUCGGCGCCCCUGCGGUGUCCUCCUCGUGCCUUGUUGCUGCGCACAUCGCGACGGGCCGUACAGGGCUGGUGAUGCACACCCCAAAGGCGGACAUUCAGAUGGGCCGCUUCAACUUUAUGGACCAAUACAACGAGUUCCGCAACCGUUCCGGUCGUGUGCCGGACUACUACGUAGAAAAGUACCGCAAGACGUACUGGCGCGUAGACGAGUACAUUCGCCGCUCCGAGAACUACAUCCAGUCACAGGGCUUCUUCUACCUACCCACGCUGGAGUUUCCGUGGUACAAGGGCUGCAUGCCGCUCAUGUCAUCAUACCAGAUUCGCGUGCACUACGGCCGCCACCAUCGCACCUACGUAGAGAAGCUUAACCAACUCAUCGAGGGCACGCCGCUCUACGGGAUGCAGCUCGACGCAUUGAUUGCGAAAAGCGCCAACGACUCUCAGCUGAAGGGCGUCUACAACAACGCUGCACAGCACUACAAUCACUCCUUCUUCUGGAAGUGUAUCCAGCCGUACGGCAGCAACAUCCCGCCAGACCUGUCCGCGGCGGUGUCUGCGCAGUACGGCUCCGUCGAGAAGUUCGAGAAGCAGUUUAUCACUGCAGCGCAGAACCUCUUUGGCAGCGGCUGGGUCUACUGGGUUUACGACAAGAAGGCUGGCGCCUUCGAUAUCGUCUCCUACGGCAACGCUGGCUGCCCGCUGACAAACUACGAGUACACACCGCUACUGUGCGUCGAUGUGUGGGAGCAUGCGUAUUACAUCGACUACGAGAACAAGCGCCCCGAGUACCUUUCCAAGUACUUUGAUGUAGUGGACUGGCACUGGGCUGAGCGCCACUGGAAGCGCGCCACUGACCAGGAGUAUCACGAGAUGAAGUUCUGGUAGGCGACCCCAUGAGUGCAGAGGGGAGAGGGGGCUGGCUCGCGGCGGGGACGAGUGCGCGCUUCCUUGCCAGCAACUCGCCCCCACCCCCUUCUCUCACCGCCCCUCCCCAACGACGCAUUUCAUUCUCGCCUUUCCACCGUCCCCUUCAUCUUGGCGCGUGCAUGGUGUGCGCGUCUCUCGGUGCUUGGUGCUGCAGGUAUCCAAGUUGGAUCAUUUACCUUUUCUUUUUCGUUUUUUUUUCUGUUGUGCUCUCGUGCAUGCGCUGUGCAUAUGUGCUUGCGUGCGCCGCCGUGCGUGCGGUGCCCGCUGCCUCCCGCCGCGUCUUGUGUGCUGCUCCACAGCUGCCCGUCUGCGCGUUGGUGUCUCUGUCGGCGUCUUUUUUUUUUGUGCGUGUGUUUCUUCGCUUCCCCGUUUUAUCGCUGAAUGCAUCAUCGCGGCCGCCACGAAGCUCAAG
rnacentral:misc_RNA from 1 species